rnacentral:rRNA from 1 species
GGGCCCGCACAAGCGGAGGAGCAUGUGGCUUAAUUCGAUGCAACGCGAAGAACCUUACCCGGGUUUGACAUGUGACUGCACGUCCCGUGAAAGCGGGAUUCCUUCGAGGGUGUCACACAGGUGCUGCAUGGCUGUCGUCAGUUCGUGCCGUGAGGUGUUUGGUUAAGUCCAGCAACGAACGCAACCCCUGUGACCAGUUGCCAGCGCGUAAAGGCGGGAACUCUGGUCAGACUGCCUGUUUACACAGGAGGAAGGUGGGGACGACGUCAAGUCAGUAUGGCCCUUACAUCCGGGGCUGCACACGUGCUACAAUGGCCGGUACAAAGGGAAGCGAGACCGCGAGGUGGAGCAAACCCCCAGAGCCGGCCCCAGUUCAGAUUGCGGUCUGCAACCCGACCGCAUGAAGCCGGAUUCGCUAGUAACGGCGCAUCAGCUACGGCGCCGUGAAUACGUUCCCGGGCCUU